GACGAACGCUGGCGGCGUGCUUAACACAUGCAAGUCGAGCGGUAAGGCCCUUUCGGGGGUACACGAGCGGCGAACGGGUGAGUAACACGUGGGUGACCUGCCCUCAGCUCUGGGAUAAGCCUGGGAAACCGGGUCUAAUACCGGAUAUGACUCCAUGACGCAUGUUGUGGGGUGGAAAGCCUUGUGCGGCUGAGGAUGGGCCCGCGGCCUAUCAGCUUGUUGGUGGGGUGAUGGCCUACCAAGGCGACGACGGGUAGCCGGCCUGAGAGGGCGACCGGCCACACUGGGACUGAGACACGGCCCAGACUCCUACGGGAGGCAGCAGUGGGGAAUCUAGCGCAAUGGGCGAAAGCCUGACGCAGCGACGCCGCGUGAGGGAUGACGGCCUCGGUGUAA
rnacentral:rRNA from 1 species